GGGCAUGUAGCUCAGCUGGUUAGAGCACCACUCUUAUAAAGUGGGGGUCCUGGGUUCAAAUCCCAGCAUGCCCACCA
rnacentral:tRNA from 1 species